AGUGAACGCUGGCGGUAGGCCUAACACAUGCAAGUCGAACGGCAGCACAGUAAGGGCUUGCUCUUACGGGUGGCGAGUGGCGGACGGGUGAGGAAUACAUCGGAAUCUACUUUUUCGUGGGGGAUAACGUAGGGAAACUUACGCUAAUACCGCAUACGACCUACGGGUGAAAGCAGGGGAUCUUCGGACCUUGCGCGAUUGAAUGAGCCGAUGUCGGAUUAGCUAGUUGGCGGGGUAAAGGCCCACCAAGGCGACGAUCCGUAGCUGGUCUGAGAGGAUGAUCAGCCACACUGGAACUGAGACACGGUCCAGACUCCUACGGGAGGCAGCAGUGGGGAAUAUUGGACAAUGGGCGCAAGCCUGAUCCAGCCAUACCGCGUGGGUGAAGAAGGCCUUCGGGCUGUAAAGCCCUUUUGUUGGGAAAGAAAAGCAGCAGGUUAAUACCCCGCUGUUCUGACGGUACCCAAAGAAUAAGCACCGGCUAACUUCGUG
rnacentral:rRNA from 1 species